CAAAGAAUAGUUUAACUAAGAAUCUUGGCUUUGGGAGCCAGGGGUGGGAGUUAAAAUCUCCUUUCUUUGAG
rnacentral:tRNA from 1 species